UUAAUAGCGAUGGAUGCUAACUGACCAUUCUGUUUCCCAAGCAGGGGCAAAAACAGCAGCUUAGACAACAGUUGCCUUUCAAUACAUUUUUUCUCUUGUUUGAUAGUGUAUGAAUUGAAAAAUGGCCUCACAGUGGAUGAAAAUCUCUGAAAUGGAGACCACGUGUGACAGUCAGUUCAACUACAAGGUAAAGAAACUUAAAAAGAAUAAAGUCAAGCCUGUAACCUGACUGUGUGACUGAAGGAUCUUUGAAUUACAGUUUGUUGAGCUGUUUCAAUCCAUGAAGUGCCAGAAGUAGACUACUUUGGAGUCAUAUCCGACACAAACAAAGGAAGCCACGCCUUAAGUCACAAUUAGACUACAACUUCACACAACAAGGUCGUGUGCACUUCUAAGUACCAGUCACAAACAGAUGGACAAUUAUUUAUUUGAAGAUUGCAGUAGUGGAUGAAUUGUCUGGGCUGUCUUCGGGGAUUGAAAGUUUCAAGCUUAAAUGUCGAUAUACUGAUUUCAGAUUGACGAGAAGGAAAGCAAGAGUCCUGAGAAAAAUAUCAACCAAGGAGAGAAUGCAAAAUUUGGGGUCGAUCUGCCACCUAACCCCUCUACACCCGUUUCUUAUAGAAAUUUUUAAGUAUUUGUAAAAUACAUGUGUACGUUGUGGUAACAACAUCUUGUAAUACGCAUGUGUCUAAAGACACACAUUUGGUUACACAAAAAAGCAUGACUUUGAAAUAAAUGUUAGUACCACAAGGUUGACUAGGUUUAGAAUGACUUAAGAAAACCGUUUGCCAGAGGUGGGUGCGGCGGGGGAGGUCGGAUGGGUGAAAAAAGAAACUGUCUGAGUAUUGUAAUAUUACUGUAUUGUAAGAUGUUAAAAAAUAUUGUAAUAUUACUAUUGUAGUGUAUGUUAAAGAUUCUUAUGUAAUACUGUACUGUGGUGUAUUAAAAGAUGUUUGUACCA